CCCUUAGAUGUUCUGGGCCGCACGCGCGCUACACUGAUGCAUUCAACAAGCCUAGCCUUGACCGAGAGGUCCGGGUAAUCUUUGAAACUGCAUCGUGAUGGGGCUAGAUUAUUGCAAUUAUUAAUCUUCAACGAGGAAUGCCUAGUAAGCGUGAUUCAUCAAAUCGCGUUGAUUACGUCCCUGCCCUUUGUACACACCGCCCGUCGCUCCUACCGAUUGAAUGGUUUAGUGAGGACUCCUGAUUGGCGCCGCCGCCCCGGCAACGGAGCAGCGGACUGCCGAAAAGUUGUUCAAACUUGAUCAUUUAGAGGAAGUAAAAGUCGUAACA
rnacentral:rRNA from 1 species